GAGUUUGAUCAUGGCUCAGAUUGAACGCUGGCGGCAGGCCUAACACAUGCAAGUCGAGCGGUAGAGAGAAGCUUGCUUCUCUUGAGAGCGGCGGACGGGUGAGUAAUGCCUAGGAAUCUGCCUGGUAGUGGGGGAUAACGCUCGGAAACGGACGCUAAUACCGCAUACGUCCUACGGGAGAAAGCAGGGGACCUUCGGGCCUUGCGCUAUCAGAUGAGCCUAGGUCGGAUUAGCUAGUUGGUGAGGUAAUGGCUCACCAAGGCGACGAUCCGUAACUGGCCUGAGAGGAUGAUCAGUCACACUGGAACUGAGACACGGUCCAGACUCCUACGGGAGGCGGCAGUGGGGAAUAUUGGACAAUGGGCGAAAGCCUGAUCCAGCCAUGCCGCGUGUGUGAAGAAGGUCUUCGGAUUGUAAAGCACUUUAAGUUGGGAGGAAGGGCAGUAAAUUAAUACUUUGCUGUUUUGACGUUACCGACAGAAUAAGCACGGCUAACUCUGUGCCAGCA
rnacentral:rRNA from 1 species